GAUCACAGCAAUGCUGGUAUUCCACCUCGUGAGUCUGGCCAUCAGUAUAGCGGCCAUCGCUAUGCUUUCCAACCACCUGCCGUACCGACAGAACAUGUACCACUGCGAGCACUGCAGUGAGCUGGAGCUGGACGUGGCGCAACAACACUGUUUCAAGACAUGCGCUUACAAAGUGGAGAGCCCCUGUAAAUAUUUGAUUGACGGCCUUCUCAUCACCCUGGUGGUAUUCAUUACUCUGGAGCUUCUGAUCUGCAUCAUAGCUAUACUGUUCGGCCUGCAGGUGCUCAUCCAAGGUAGAACACAGCUUCCUCGUCUCACUCAGAAAACUGCACCAGGCCAGUCUAUUGAGGCUCCCCUGUCUGAGGAGGCAGUAGAGGAAGGUACUGUUGCUGUAGAGGUGGAAACACUUCCAGCAGAACCAGUGGUGGAUCCACCGCCAUAUAAGGUCUGAGUUUACCGUCUUCUUUCAGCAAGAGGAAGACUUCAGGGAAGGUGAUGGGGUGCUCAGCGCAAAGCCAAAAGACUGCUUUGUAGCUUCCUUUCUGUUGGCAAACCCACUGACCUAAUUGUAUGACUACUUAUGGUUUGUAUGGAAUGUGGUUAAUCAGUUAAUCAGUAGCAUAUACAUAUAGCAAAGUACUGUUUAUACUGUUUGACAUGUAUAUUUUUUCAGUAACUGGAUCUGGCAUGUCUGUUAUGAUCAUGUGGCAAUGAAAGAGAACAAACUGUAUUUUGGGGGCCUGUACUGAUACUUGUGUGUCACACUGUGAUGUAAUGGGGAAUGAAAUCCUAUACUAUGUACUAUCACACUUGCAAGAUGGAUGUAAUCGAUGGUUAUCCAGCGAAGUGUUUAACGGCACGUUAUCUGCUUUUGUUUGCUAGACUGUUGUGUUUGAGAUGAAGUUUGUUUGUUUCACAUUCAGAAACCUGACAAGUGUUUCAGCCAUGUACAAUCCAGUCUUUCUAAAUAUUCGUUUUGUGCUUAUUUUUAUAAACUUUUACUGUCAAAAUGUAAUAAAGAUGUUUCUAG
ensembl:lncRNA